GACGAACGCUGGCGGCGUGCUUAACACAUGCAAGUUGAACGGAAAGGCCCUGCUUUUGUGGGGUGCUCGAGUGGCGAACGGGUGAGUAACACGUGAGUAACCUGCCCUUGACUUUGGGAUAACUUCAGGAAACUGGGGCUAAUACCAUAGGAGCUCCUGCUGCAUGGUGGGGGUUGGAAAGUUUCGGCGGUUGGGGAUGGACUCGCGGCUUAUCAGCUUGUUGGUGGGGUAGUGGCUUACCAAGGCUUUGACGGGUAGCCGGCCUGAGAGGGUGACCGGCCACAUUGGGACUGAGAUACGGCCCAGACUCCUACGGGAGGCAGCAGUGGGGAAUAUUGCACAAUGGGCGGAAGCCUGAUGCAGCAACGCCGCGUGCGGGAUGACGGCCUUCGGGUUGUAAACCGCUUUCGCCUGUGACGAAGCGUGAGUGACGGUAAUGGGUAAAGAAGCACCGGCUAACUACGUG
rnacentral:rRNA from 1 species